GUCCUUCCUUCUGCAGCACAUAUACUAAAAUUGGAACUAUACAGAAAAGAUUAGCAUGGCCCCCGUGCAAGCAUUACAUGCAAAUUUGUGAAGUGGUCCAUAUUUUU
ensembl:snRNA U6 U6 spliceosomal RNA